UGGGCAACAACUGACGCUGAGGCACGAAAGUGUGGGGAGCAAACAGGAUUAGAUACCCUGGUAGUCCACACCGUAAACGAUGGAUACUAGGAGUUGGCAAAAAUAUUGUCGGUUCCGCAGUUAACGCAUUAAGUAUCCCACCUGGGGAGUACGACCGCAAGGUUAAAACUCAAAGGAAUUGACGGGGGCCCGCACAAGCAGUGGAGUAUGUGGUUUAAUUCGAAGCAACGCGAAGAACCUUACCAGGGCUUGACAUAUACAGGAAUAUAUAAGAGAUUAUAUAGCUCUACGGAGUCUGUAUACAGGUGGUGCAUGGUUGUCGUCAGCUCGUGUCGUGAGAUGUUGGGUUAAGUCCCGUAACGAGCGCAACCCCUAUGGCUAGUUGCUAACAUUAAGUUGAGGACUCUAGCAAGACUGCCGUUGUUAAAACGGAGGAAGGUGGGGACGACGUCAAAUCAUCAUGCCCUUUAUGUCCUGGGCUACACACGUACUACAAUGGGUAAGACAGAGGGAAGCGAAAGUGCGAACUGGAGCAAAACCCUAAACUUAUUCUCAGUUCGGAUUGGAGUCUGAAAUUCGGCUCCAUGAAGCUGGAAUUGCUAGUAAUGGCAGGUCAGCAUACUGCCGUGAAUACGUUCCCGGGCCUUGUACACACCGCCCGUCACACCAUG
rnacentral:rRNA from 1 species